rnacentral:rRNA from 1 species
CAUCGCGACCCCAGGUCAGGCGGGACUACCCG